rnacentral:rRNA from 1 species
GACGAACGCUGGCGGCGUGCUUCACACAUGCAAGUCGAACGAAGUGGCGAACGGGUGAGUAACGAGUAAUCAACCUGCCCUUCAGAGGGGGACAACAGUUGGAAACGACUGCUAAUACCACAUACUGAAGGAGGGAGAUGCGUCUGAUUAGCUAGUUGGAGGGGUAACGUCCCAACCAGGAGAUGAUCAGUAGGCGGUCUGAGAGAAUGAACGGACACAUUGGGACGGAGACACGGCCCAGACUCCUACGGGAGGCAGCAGUGGGGAUUCUUCCGCAAUGGACGAACGUCUGACGGAGCAACGCCGCGUGAGUGAUGACGGCCUUCGGGUUGUAAAGCUCUGUUAAUCGGGACGCGGUACCGGAAUAGAAAGCCACGGCUAACUACGUGCCAGCAGCCGCGGUAAUAC